rnacentral:rRNA from 1 species
UACGUAGGGUGCAAGCGUUAAUCGGAAUUACUGGGCGUAAAGCGUGCGCAGGCGGUUUUGUAAGUCUGUCGUGAAAGCCCCGGGCUCAACCUGGGGAAUUGCGAUGGAGACUGCAAGGCUUGAAUCUGGCAGAGGGGGGGUAGAAUUCCACGUGUAGCAGUGAAAUGCGUAGAGAUGUGGAGGAACACCGGAUGGCGAAGGCAGCCCCCCUGGGUCAAGAUUGACGCCUCAUGCACGAAAGCGUGGGGAGCAAACAGG